rnacentral:rRNA from 1 species
UGGCGGCAGGCUUAGCACAUGCAAGUCGAGCGGGGAAGGUAGCUUGCUACCUGACCUAGCGGCGGACGGGUGAGUAAUACUUAGGAAUCUGCCUAUUAGUGGGGGACAACGUUUCGAAAGGGACGCUAAUACCGCAUACGCCCUACGGGGGAAAGCAGGGGAUCACUUGUGACCUUGCGCUAAUAGAUGAGCCUAAGUCGGAUUAGCUAGUUGGUGGGGUAAAGGCCUACCAAGGCGACGAUCUGUAGCGGGUCUGAGAGGAUGAUCCGCCACACUGGGACUGAGACACGGCCCAGACUCCUACGGGAGGCAGCAGUGGGGAAUAUUGGACAAUGGGGGGAACCCUGAUCCAGCCAUGCCGCGUGUGUGAAGAAGGCCUUAUGGUUGUAAAGCACUUUAAGCGAGGAGGAGGCUCCUAUAGAUAAUACCUAUAGUGAGUGGACGUUACUCGCAGAAUAAGCACCGGCUAACUCUGUGCCAGCAGCCGCGGUAAUACAGAGGGUGCAAGCGUUAAUCGGAUUUACUGGGCGUAAAGCGUACGUAGGCGGCUAAUUAAGUCGGAUGUGAAAUCCCCGAGCUCAACUUGGGAAUUGCAUUCGAUACUGGUUAGCUAGAGUAUGGGAGAGGAUGGUAGAAUUCCAGGUGUAGCGGUGAAAUGCGUAGAGAUCUGGAGGAAUACCGAUGGCGAAGGCAGCCAUCUGGCCUAAUACUGACGCUGAGGUACGAAAGCAUGGGGAGCAAACAGGAUUAGAUACCCUGGUAGUCCAUGCCGUAAACGAUGUCUACUAGCCGUUGGGGCCUUUGAGGCUUUAGUGGCGCAGCUAACGCGAUAAGUAGACCGCCUGGGGAGUACGGUCGCAAGACUAAAACUCAAAUGAAUUGACGGGGGCCCGCACAAGCGGUGGAGCAUGUGGUUUAAUUCGAUGCAACGCGAAGAACCUUACCUGGUCUUGACAUAGUAAGAACUUUCCAGAGAUGGAUUGGUGCCUUCGGGAACUUACAUACAGGUGCUGCAUGGCUGUCGUCAGCUCGUGUCGUGAGAUGUUGGGUUAAGUCCCGCAACGAGCGCAACCCUUUUCCUUAUUUGCCAGCGGGUUAAGCCGGGAACUUUAAGGAUACUGCCAGUGACAAACUGGAGGAAGGCGGGGACGACGUCAAGUCAUCAUGGCCCUUACGACCAGGG